rnacentral:rRNA from 1 species
GACGAACGCUGGCGGCGUGCUUAACACAUGCAAGUCGAACGGAAAGGCCCUGCUUUUGUGGGGUGCUCGAGUGGCGAACGGGUGAGUAACACGUGAGUAACCUGCCCUUGACUUUGGGAUAACUUCAGGAAACUGGGGCUAAUACCGGAUAGGAGCUCCUGCUGCAUGGUGGGGGUUGGAAAGUUUCGGCGGUUGGGGAUGGACUCGCGGCUUAUCAGCUUGUUGGUGGGGUAGUGGCUUACCAAGGCUUUGACGGGUAGCCGGCCUGAGAGGGUGACCGGAACGAGUGGGCCUGGAGAAGGGCCGAGACCCCUACGGGAGGCAACGGGGGGAGAUGUUGCAGAGGGGGGGGAGGCGGUAGGCGGCAGCCCCGGGUGGGGGAUGCCGGCUUUCGGGUUGUAACCGGUUUCCGCCUGGAAAGAAGGGUGAGUGAGGGUAAGGGAUAAAGAAGCCCCGGCUAACUACGUG